rnacentral:rRNA from 1 species
UCUCCGUUGGUGAACCAGCGGAGGGAUCAUUGCUGGAACGCGCCCCUGGCGCACCCAGAAACCCUUUGUGAACUCAUACCUUACCGUUGCCUCGGCGCAGGCCGGCCCCCCCCGGGGGGCCCCUCGGAGACGAGGAGCAGGCCCGCCGGCGGCCAAGUUAACUCUUGUUUUUACACUGAAACUCUGAGAAACAAAACACAAAUGAAUCAAAACUUUCAACAACGGAUCUCUUGGUUCUGGCAUCGAUGAAGAACGCAGCGAAAUGCGAUAAGUAAUGUGAAUUGCAGAAUUCAGUGAAUCAUCGAAUCUUUGAACGCACAUUGCGCCCUCUGGUAUUCCGGAGGGCAUGCCUGUUCGAGCGUCAUUUCAACCCUCAAGCCUGGCUUGGUGAUGGGGCACUGCUCCCCCCCCCGGGGAGCAGGCCCUGAAAUCCAGUGGCGAGCUCGCCAGGACCCCGAGCGCAGUAGUUAAACCCUCGCUCCGGGAGGCCCUGGCGGUGCCCUGCCGUUAAACCCCCAACUUCUGAAAGUUUGACCUCGGAUCAGGUAGGAAUACCCGCUGAACUUAA